rnacentral:rRNA from 1 species
UACGUAGGGUGCGAGCGUUAAUCGGAUUUACUGGGCGUAAAGCGUGCGCAGGCGGCCCGUUAAGACAGGUGUGAAAUCCCUGGGCUCAACCUAGGGAUUGCGCUUGUGACUGGCGGGCUCGAGUACGGUAGAGGGGGGUGGAAUUCCUGGUGUAGCAGUGAAAUGCGUAGAGAUCAGGAGGAACACCGAUGGCGAAGGCAGCCCCCUGGGCCUGUACUGACGCUCAUGCACGAAAGCGUGGGGAGCAAACAGG